rnacentral:rRNA from 1 species
GAUUAACGCUGGCGGCGUGCAUAACACAUGCAAGUCGAACGAUGAAACUUAACUGAUCUCUUCGGAGUGAAUUUAAGUGGAUUAGUGGCGGACGGGUGAGUAACGCGUGAGUAACCUGCCUUAGAGAAGGGGAUAGCCUUUGGAAACGAAGAAUAAUACCCUAUGAAACCAACACCUCGCAUGAAGUGCUGGUCAAAGAUUUAUCGCUCUAAGAUGGACUUGCGUCUGAUUAGCUAGUUGGUGAGAUAAUAGCUCACCAAGGCAACGAUCAGUAGCCGGCUUGAGAGAGUGUACGGCCACAUUGGGACUGAGACACGGCCCAGACUCCUACGGGAAGGAGCAGUGGGGAAUUUUGCACCAUGGGGGAAACCCUGAUGCCACGACCCCCCGUGAUUUAAAAAGGCCUCCGGGUGGAAAAAUCCUUUCCAUGGGAAAAAAAUGGCCGUACCCUAGGAAAUAAGACCCGGUAAAUACGUGCCAGCAGCCGCGGUAAUACGUAAAGUCCGAGCGUUGUCCGGAAAUCAUUGGGCGUAAGGGUACGUAGGCGGGUAAGCAAGUUAGAAGUGAAAUCCUAUAGCUCAACUAUAGUAAGCUUUUAAAACUGCUCAUCUUGAGGUAUGGAAGGGAAAGUGGAAUUCCUAGUGUAGCGGUGAAAUGCGCAGAUAUUAGGAGGAAUACCGGUGGCGAAGGCGACUUUCUGGCCAUAAACUGACGCUGAGGUACGAAAGCGUGGGUAGCAAACAGGAUUAGAUACCCUGGUAGUCCACGCCGUAAACGAUGAGUGCUAGGUGUCUGCUCAUAAGAGUAGGUGCCGUACGUUAACACAUUAAGCACUCCGCCUGGGGAGUACGUACGCAAGUAUGAAACUCAAAGGAAUUGACGGGGACCCGCACAAGCAGCGGAGCAUGUGGUUUAAUUCGAGGCUACGCGAAGAACCUUACCAGGACUUGACAUACCAAGGAAAGUUUUUAGAGAUAAAAACCCUAGAUUUAUCUACCUUGGAUACAGGUGGUGCAUGGUUGUCGUCAGCUCGUGUCGUGAGAUGUUGGGUUAAGUCCCGCAACGAGCGCAACCCUUACAUUUAGUUACUAACAGGUUAAGCUGAGGACUCUAGAUGGACUGCCGAUGACAAAUCGGAGGAAGGUGGGGAUGACGUCAAAUCAUCAUGCCCUUUAUGUCCUGGGCUACACACGUGCUACAAUGGUCGGUACAAAGAGAAGCUAAAUAGCGAUAUCAAGCAAACCUCAAAAAACCGAUCCCAGUUCGGAUUGAUCUCUGCAACUCGAGAUCAUGAAGCCGGAGUUGCUAGUAAUCGCAGAUCAGAAUGCUGCGGUGAAUGCGUUCCCGGGUCU